CCCUUAGAUGUUCUGGGCCGCACGCGCGCUACACUGACGGAGGCAGCGAGCGUGUCCUUCGCCGGCAGGUGCGGGCAAUCUUGCGAGUCUCCGUCGUGCUGGGGAUAGAUGGCUGCAAUUGUCGAUCUUGAACGAGGAAUUCCUAGUAAGCGCGAGUCAUCAGCUCGCGCUGAUUACGUCCCUGCCCUUUGUACACACCGCCCGUCGCUACUACAGAGUGCCCGUGUCCAAGAAACGGUCGGACCUGUGCGGCCUCUCCGGGCGACCGGAGGGCCGUUACGGGGAAGACCCUUUAUUUGACGCGGGUCGAUGAAGUAAAAGUCGUAACA
rnacentral:rRNA from 1 species